UUAGUCCAGUCUUAGUCUUAGUCCAGUCUUAGUCUUAGUCCAGUCUUAGUGACUGGACUAAGACUGGACUAAGACUAAGACUGGACUAAGAC
rnacentral:pre_miRNA from 1 species